AUGCGAGCGUUAUCCGGAUUUAUUGGGUUUACAGGGUGCGUAGGUGGUGAUUUAAGUCAGCGGUGAAAGUUUGUGGCUCAACCAUAAAAUUGCCGUUGAAACUGGGUUACUUGAGUGUGUUUGAGGUAGGCGGAAUGCGUGGUGUAGCGGUGAAAUGCAUAGAUAUCUCGCAGAACUCCGAUUGCGAAGGCAGCUUACUAAACCAUAACUGACACUGAAGCACGAAAGCGUGGGGAUC
rnacentral:rRNA from 1 species